rnacentral:rRNA from 1 species
CUCGUAGGCGGUUCGUGCGUCCGGUGUGAAAGUCCAUCGCCUAACGGUGGAUCUGCGCCGGGUACGGGCGGGCUGGAGUGCGGUAGGGGAGACUGGAAUUCCCGGUGUAACGGUGGAAUGUGUAGAUAUCGGGAAGAACACCAAUGGCGAAGGCAGGUCUCUGGGCCGUUACUGACGCUGAGGAGCGAAAGCGUGGGGAGCGAACA